UUCCUCCCUGCCUCCUCAGACUGAGUGACUGUAACCUCUCAGAGAGAAGCUGUGAAGCUCUGUCCUCAGUUCUCAGCUCCCAGUCCUCCAGUCUCAGAGAACUGGACCUGAGUAACAACAACCUGCAAGAUUCAGCAGUGAAGCUUCUCUCUGCUGGACUGAAGAGUCCAAACUGCAACCUGGAGACUCUCAGCUUAUCAGGCUGUUUGGUCUCAGAGGAAGGCUGUGCUUCUCUGGCCUCAGCUCUGACCUUUAACCCCUCCCAUCUGAAAGAGUUG